CUCCUGGGUUGUCUACUCUUUU
rnacentral:piRNA from 1 species